rnacentral:rRNA from 1 species
ACGGAAGGCAGCAGUCGGGAAUAUUGCGCAAUGGAGGAAACUCUGACGCAGUGACGCCGCGUAUAGGAAGAAGGUUUUCGGAUUGUAAACUAUUGUCAUUAGGGAAGAUAAAAGACUGUACCUAAAGAGGAAGCUCCGGCUAACUACGUGCCAGCAGCCGCGGUAAUACGUAGGGAGCAAGCGUUAUCCGGAUUUAUUGGGUGUAAAGGGUGCGUAGACGGGAAAACAAGUUAGUUGUGAAAUCCCUCGGCUCAACUGAGGAACUGCAACUAAAACUAUUUUUCUUGAGUGUCGGAGAGGAAAGUGGAAUUCCUAGUGUAGCGGUGAAAUGCGUAGAUAUUAGGAGGAACACCGGUGGCGAAGGCGACUUUCUGGACGAUAACUGACGUUGAGGCACGAAAGUGUGGGGAGCAAACAGGAUUAGAUACCCUGGUA